CUAACAAGCGCCACUUCCAAAUUAUUUAGGUAUUUGAGAAAUAAAUGGAUAAAACGUACAACUAUCACUUUAUAAUGUUUCUGAAGUGUUUCCCUGAUGGAUUACUUCUCUCCUCGAUGGAUUCUAAAAACACGUGAUGGCUCGUAACUGCUGAACGUCGCUCUGGACUGAAAGAGGCUUUUUCUGUUCAUAUUUGAUAACAGAGAUAGACAUGGAGGGAUGGGGGAAGGGGAUGACAUGCGUUCAUGCAGUGCCACGAGUCAAAAUUAAACCUGUGCCGCUGCUGAGGAGUCAGUACACUCUACCAGGCAAGCUACUGGAGCUCCCCUGAAGGACACUGUUGACACAGCUGGGCUGAGUAACAAAAACCAAGUUACUAUAAGUUUUGCUUAUCGAGGGAUUUUUCUUACAACCUGGCUGAUUGUCGGACUGCUUGUGGUUUCUGCUCGGUUGGGCUUCUUUUUAUCAACAUGGCUGUGUUCCCAGAUCCCAGCUAUUAACUUGGCCAAGGUCUCCCAGAUAUGUUGCAGCCUUAAGGCUAAGUUGCACCUCCAGAAAGGCUGAAGAGUGAUGCCGGCCUAGUGUAUGGCAGCAGUCUGAAGUCAGCCAUCACGUAAUGGUUACAUGUGACAAUGAAGGACAG